AACGAACGCUGGCGGCAGGCCUAACACAUGCAAGUCGAGCGAGGACUUCGGUCCUAGCGGCGGACGGGUGAGUAACGCGUGGGAACGUGCCCUUUGCUUCGGAAUAGCCCUGGGAAACUGGGAGUAAUACCGGAUGAGCCCUUUGGGGGAAAGAUUUAACGACGAAGGAUCGGCCCGCGUUGGAUUAGGUAGUUGGUGGGGUAAUGGCCUAUCAAGCCGACGAUCCAUAGCUGGUUUGAGAGGAUGGUCAGCCACACUGGGACUGAGACACGGCCCAGACUCCUACGCGAGGCAGCAGUGGGGAAUCUUAGACAAUGGGGGAAACCCUGAACGAGCCAUGCCGCGUGAGCGAUGAAGGCCUUAGGGUUGUAAAGCUCUUUCAGCUGGGAAGAUAAUGACGGUACCAGCAGAAGAAGCCCCGGCUAACUCCGUG
rnacentral:rRNA from 1 species